UUAACGGUGACAAAAGUAACCCGUGCGCCCCUUAUAAAUGUAUAAUGUUUUGAAUGAAAUGUGAACAUUUUGUUUUUGAGAAAGCGGUUAAAAAUUAAAGGGCCUCUGAAAGAGAAAAAGGUCAAAAUUUGCUGUUAUCUGAGUUCUCAUAUGCUUUCAUUGGUUCCAGUUCUAGUUUUUACAUAUGUUAUUCUUUCUUUUAUGUCUUUUCAGAAUCUCUGAUUUAUCUACCUAUUUAAGAAAGCACUUCCGAUACGUGUUGAAGGCGUGAUAAACAUCUAUUAUGAAAAUAAGUUAUUUUUAGAACUGAUAUCAGAGUUAGUUCUUAAAAUAGAAUAUUUUUUAUGAAAUUGCUAUCAGAUAACAAUCAUAAUUCGAUAAACCUUCAAUAUAAAUGUUGCCGCUUUGUAAAUAUCGCCAGUUACAGAUUGAAUAACUAUUGAUUGCGCGUCGUUUGCGAUCAAGACUAUUAAUUAUCACUCGCUUUUCAACCCCUUACCGACAAAUACUAUAACAAUGAACCGUCCAAACAACAUGCCUGGAGCUUUCACCGUCCAAGGAUACUCUAUCGGACCAAACCCCUGUUUUGGACCGAGCAGAUGCUCAGUCAACCCACAUUUUGGGGUACCUGCCAAUCCAUCACCACACUACAACACUUGCUUCGUCUCUGCAUCCUCUCUUAGGAAAGCGUACCCACAGAUGUCUCACCCCAGAAAUAAUGGUUUUAAGUGAUUUGCCUUUAUAAAGGCUAUGUUGAAUCUCGAUUUUUGGAAUAAUUAGAUAUAUAUAGACAUAAGUAUGUGUAAGUGUUGAGUAAUUUCUAAAUUAACCUAUAUAAUAAACCUAUUAACUGUUA